rnacentral:tRNA from 1 species
GGUUCGUUAGCUCAGUGGAAGAGCGUCUCCCUGUCGAGGAGAGGGCCGCGGGUUCGAUCCCCGCACGGACCGCCA